CAGUCGCCGCGGUAAUACGUAGGUGACAAGCGUUGUCCGGAAUUAUUGGGCGUAAAGGGCUCGCAGGCGGUUUCUUAAGUCUGAUGUGAAAGCCCCCGGCUCGACCGGGGAGGGUCAUUGGAAACUGGGAAACUUGAGUGCAGAAGAGGAGAGUGGAAUUCCACGUGUAGCGGUGAAAUGCGUAGAGAUGUGGAGGAACACCAGUGGCGAAGGCGACUCUCUGGUCUGUAACUGACGCUGAGGAGCGAAAGCGUGGGGAGCGAACAGGAUUAGAGACCCCUGUAGUCCCUGUCUCUUAUAC
rnacentral:rRNA from 1 species